ACAUAUUUAUUCUCUCCCUUUGUAAAUUUCUAAUGGAUUUUCUGUUUUCUUACAGCAAAGAUAUUCUCUGCACACCAUCAAAAAAAAAAAAAAAAGGCCAAAACAGAAUUUCAAGGAGGCUACCUGAAACUAAUCGAUUUAAGUCUUGAGGCUUGAGAAAAGAGUGAACAAGGUCGAGCAGUAUUACUUGGGGAAAGGCAGUCUGCAACCAACCACUUCGAAGGAGAAAGACAGAGAUAAGCAUUUUAAUGCAAUUAAGAAGCAGCAGCAAGAUGCAUCACGUGGGGAAGCCGCUGCUGCAAAGAGGAUGCGAGAUCUGUUGAAUUAGUUUUCCGCAAUCUUCAAAC